AAAACUCAAUAUGUCCAGAAACAGCAUGCAAAAAAUUACGGAGGUACUUUUUGGUGCUUUUUUAAAAAGUUUCUUUGACGUUAAUAAGUAUUUUAUAUAAACAAUUAGAAGAAUUUGUCAUUAUUACGUUAAAAUUACUUACCAGCCUUAAAGGUACUAUAGUAUUAAAGAUAAUCUAUGAAAAUGAAAUUAAGAAAACAAAUAUUCUGCUAAUUGCACGUUUUUCAAAAGGUGUAUUGAUUUUUGCAGUACACUUUACAAUUUUAACGACAAAUUGGUAUAGUCAGUAAAAGUAAUAGGUAAUAUUAUAAAUUACAGUUUAUUACUAGCACUAUUUUACGAUCGGAAAAUUUUCAGACUUGAAAUUUCGAAUUUUUGACUUUUCUCCAUUGAGCGGACAUAUUGUGCGUUUCUUCCAAUUUUAAAAAUGACAUUCUGUUUUAAAGAGUGUGCCAAUACUUAUGUUACCAACUGUAUGUAUACUAUCAAAUGUGACUUUGACUGGGAAUUAAUAGGAUAAAUAUAAAAAGCUGAGUCAACGUUACGAGUAUGUAUAAAGUUCAACAGAUAAUGUCAUUCGAAAUUAAAAUACAUCGAUUAACAAACAGACAACAUAAUUUGUCUUCGGGAAUAAAACGCAAUAAGCUAUAAUUUCAAGAGUUACAGAUUUAUAGAAUUGUUUUUAUAGAAUGCUGAGAAACGCUGCACCAUGGUUAUUAAGCACACUGUUAAUUUUACUCAGGAAGAUAAAGAGAUUGUCUAGUGGUAGUCUGACAGGAAGGGUUUCACUUCCUCGAGAACCAAUUUCCUGUAACUGUAACAUUCGAUGCAGUAAUGAAUCCUUGUUGAAUAUUUGAACAAAAAUCUUUAUUCAUAUGAUAAAUGUAAUAAUAUAAUUGAAGCUCGAACUCUUUAGUGUUAUUAAAGACUGAAGAGCCAGAAACCAUACAAAACCGACUAUCACUGAUCUGACCUUGUAAGAUAACCUUCCAAAAAUAAUAGCACCAGAGACUACUUAUAAUUCAAAUUGAAGUACGAACGAUAAGUAGAAACUGAUAUCGGAGCACAUACUGCUAGAUAGGUGGACAAUUUCAAUGCAGAAAUUGAAAUAACACAAUAUAUAGUUCUAUACGAGUUAAAAAGAUCUUGGAAGAUUUUUCCCCGUUAUCAAAUAAGGUUGCUCCAUUAUUAUUUUUGUAUAAUUUUCUUAUCAAUGAAUUAUGCGUAUUAUUUUUCUGAUUAACAGAACCAAAGAAUUCAAAGGGCAAAGAAUCUAGAUUACACGAAGCUACCAGAAAGUUCAUUCUAACGGCAUUUGCAAUAAUAGGCUACAGAUAUGCUAAUCCAUGUUUUUAUGAAUACAAAGAAGAAAGCGAAACAGUUUGCAACAUACUUUACCAAAUCGGACGACAUCAUUUGGAAAUUCAAAACAUCUUAAUACGAGAGCAAACUUUAAAAAUCGAUAAAAUUAAACUUAUAAAUGCUUAUAAUAAUCAUUUCAUAGAUAUCAAUAGGAAUCAAUUUUAUCUAACGAUAAUAUAAUAUUACAUUAUAUUAAUCUGUUUGAAUAUAAUUUCCUAGUUAUUUCCAUUGCUUGUGGACAACAAUUCGAAGUUGGUUCAGCAGCAAGCGCUAAAGAUAGAAUGUGUGCAUUAUUUCUGCCUCACAUACUUUCAUUUUUGCAAUAUAGGAGUUGUUUGAAGGUAUGUUAAGAGCCCGAAGCAAAGAUCAUAAAUAUGCACAGCCACUUCCUUCGAAUGCCAGGUGACGUUAGGUAUGUCAGAUCUUAAAAAGGAAAGAGCAAAACACGACCGGUAAUGGUAGAAUUUAUUUGCAUAAACUACUUAGCCCAUUUAUUUACUUCAUUUGAUCGCCAUAUUUGACAUACUAUAUCAUGCUAUAUUAAAAAGGUAGAAAAUGCAGAAGAGAAUGCUGAAUUUAAGCGAUAGUCAAUCAACUAAAUACCUAGAAAUCGGCAAUCCGUUUUUUUAACGAAUCUGUUUUUCAUUAAAGUUUUAUCCCGAUAAUACUUUUAUUUUAACUUUUACUAUUUUUGUUAACACUGUGUGAAAAUAUUUCCUAAAAAUAUAAUUAGUAUCGUAGAUUAAACUUAAAAAUGUUGCGCAGUACUGUAUGAUAAAUAUCUUAAAACGUUCUGCGUCGUAAUAUCGGAUAAUUCCUUCGUGAAUAUUAAAAUACGAAAAUGCACAGAGAUGCAUUAUUGAUUAAGUGCUGGGUCAAGUGGCGUUCACAUCGCUGAAAGACGAUCCUUCUAGAACUGAGAAAAUCGACUAGCGAAGAGAAGGAUCGAAAGAGGAUUGUAUAGGAAGAUGCAAAUUGUCGUUUUUUAAAACACGCCAUUGUUACUCAAUAUUCGUGUCAAGAGCAAAUUUUUAAAUGUUCGAGUUUGCUUUGAAAGGUUAUCGUAUCCGGUAGAAAUAAUUGCGGCAUUAAUUACAACAAGCUACGAUAACAUCAAAAAGCUUUCUCGUUCUAAUUACAAGCUUCAUUAGGAAUAAUA
rnacentral:lncRNA from 1 species